rnacentral:rRNA from 1 species
GAUGAACCCUGGCGGCGUGCCUAAUACAUGCAAGUCGAGCGAACGGACGAGAAGCUUGCUUCUCUGAUGUUAGCGGCGGACGGGUGAGUAACACGUGGAUAACCUACCUAUAAGACUGGGAUAACUUCGGGAAACCGGAGCUAAUACCGGAUAAUAUUUUGAACCGCAUGGUUCAAAAGUAAAAGACGGUCUUGCUGUCACUUAUAGAUGGAUCCGCGCUGCAUUAGCUAGUUGGUAAGGUAACGGCUUACCAAGGCAACGAUGCAUAGCCGACCUGAGAGGGUGAUCGGCCACACUGGAACUGAGACACGGUCCAGACUCCUACGGGAGGCAGCAGUAGGGAAUCUUCCGCAAUGGGCGAAAGCCUGACGGAGCAACGCCGCGUGAGUGAUGAAGGUCUUCGGAUCGUAAAACUCUGUUAUUAGGGAAGAACAUAUGUGUAAGUAACUGUGCACAUCUUGACGGUACCUAAUCAGAAAGCCACGGCUAACUACGUG